UGUUAUAAAGGAACCUCCAUUUUAUAGUUUUCAAUCAGGGAAUUGUUUUAAAGAUUUUAUUUAUUUAUUUUUUUUGUUACACAUUAUACAUCUGCAGUGUGUAUGUGGGAUGCCUUUGGAGACCAGAAGAGGAUUUGUAUGGGUCCCUUAGACAUGAAAUUAAAGAAGACUAGGGCUGUGCUGGACCUGUGAGACAGAAGGAGCACUGACCCCUCAGGCAUCAUGUGGAGGAGCUGACUGGUCAUGAACUUUCACUAUGGACUAUUUAGGGUGUCUGAGAAGCAGAACGACGCCAUCAAACCCAAACUCCAAACAACUUGGAAGUAUUGAGUGAAGGCAGAGACCCCGAAGCCACACAUAGAAUGCUUUACAAGCCUGUAAUUGUCCUCAAGGACAACGUGAGCAGAAAGGAGACAGAACUUCACUUAAGCUGAAUGAAAUUCCAUUGGUACAAGCUUCACAUUUCAUCAUCUAAUCACCUCUUAACACCACCUGGGAUGCUUCCAUUUCCUCACCAUUGGAAAAGAAUGGCAACAAACAUGGAGAUCUGGCCAGAAGAGUGCAAAGAAAAGCAGUUUCAACCUGUGGUUCAAAGGAAGAAUUUGCAAGGAGAAUGAGAGAAGCGGUUAAUGCUGGCUUCUGUUCAGAGCCCCGCCCUAUUCACUCCUCAUGCCCACAUAGACUCUUCCCUGGCUAGGCAAGACAAUGAAAUCAUCCAUCCUUAACUGAUUAUG
rnacentral:lncRNA from 1 species